rnacentral:rRNA from 1 species
GCAUAACGCGAAGAACCUUACCCACCUUUGACAUGUACGGAAUCCUUUAGAGAUAGAGGAGUGCUCGAAAGAGAGCCGUAACACAGGUGCUGCAUGGCUGUCGUCAGCUCGUGUCGUGAGAUGUUGGGUUAAGUCCCGCAACGAGCGCAACCCUUGCCAUUAGUUGCUACGAAAGGGCACUCUAAUGGGACUGCCGGUGACAAACCGGAGGAAGGUGGGGAUGACGUCAAGUCCUCAUGGCCCUUAUAGGUGGGGCUACACACGUCAUACAAUGGCUGGUACAAAGGGUUGCCAACCCGCGAGGGGGAGCCAAUCCCACAAAGCCAGUCGUAGUCCGGAUCGCAGUCUGCAACUCGACUGCGUGAAGUCGGAAUCGCUAGUAAUCGUGGAUCAGAAUGUCACGGUGAAUACGUUCCCGGGUCUUGUACACACCG